rnacentral:misc_RNA from 1 species
GGAAGUAAAAGUCGUAACAAGAUCUCCGUUGGUGGACCAGCGGAGGGAUCAUUACCGAGUUAUUCUACUCCCAAACCCCUGUGAACUUAUACCUUUACUGUUGCUUCGGCGGGUUAACGCCCCGGAAGGCCCGCGAGGGCCGCCGGAACCAGGCGCCCGCCGGGGGACCCAAACUCUUGUAUCUUUUUUAUAGCAUGUCUGAGUGGAAUCAUAAACAAAUGAAUCAAAACUUUCAACAACGGAUCUCUUGGUUCUG